rfam:Gasterosteus aculeatus cont1.000528, whole genome shotgun sequence.
UGGCACAAACCCGUAGAUCCGAUCUUGUGGCAAAUCUGACAGCACAAGCUCGCCUCUGUGGGUCUUUGUCAU